GACGAACGCUGGCGGCGUGCCUAAUACAUGCAAGUUGAGCGCUGAAGGUUGGUACUUGUACCAACUGGAUGAGCAGCGAACGGGUGAGUAACGCGUGGGGAAUCUGCCUUUGAGCGGGGGACAACCUUUGGAAACGAAUGCUAAUACCGCAUAAAAACUUUAAACACAAGUUUUAAGUUUGAAAGAUGCAAUUGCAUCACUCAAAGAUGAUCCCGCGUUGUAUUAGCUAGUUGGUGAGGUAAAGGCUCACCAAGGCGAUGAUACAUAGCCGACCUGAGAGGGUGAGCGGCCACAUUGGGACUGAGACACGGCCCAAACGCCUACGGGAGGCAGCAGUAGGGAUUCUUCGGCAAUGGACGAAAGUCUGACCGAGCAACGCCGCGUGAGUGAAGAAGGUUGUCGGAUCGUAAAACUCUGUUGGUAGAGAAGAACGUUGGUGAGAGUGGAAAGCUCAUCAAGUGACGGUAACUACCCAGAAAGGGACGGCUAACUACGUG
rnacentral:rRNA from 1 species